rfam:Aedes aegypti strain Liverpool supercont1.28 genomic scaffold, whole genome shotgun sequence.
GACUCAGUAGCUCAGUGGAUAAAGCGCUCGUCUAGCAUACAAAAGUUGUGGUUUCGAAUCCCAUCUGAGCA